GUCAUCUACUAGUUGAAAAGAGAUCAAGCAGCUUGUGGUAAGAUGUUAAUGGAUCUCUCACAAAACUGAGAAUGCAUUUCUUACAUUUUUAUUUUGAAAAAUGACUCCAACUAAGUUUCUGAUGAGUCCCACAAUUGUUUUAUCAGUACAGAGCUUCAUGGUCAGAUAAGUAUUAUGUUGUCAUUGUAAGAAGCAGAUUAAUCAGCAAAGGACCGAACACACAUCCAUGAGGGACACCAGUGCUCAAUCGAGUAAAAAUAUACACUUUCUGUUAAAAUGUACAUUUGUUUAAAUGUACAUUUUAUAAUUUUGAGAAUCUAUUUGAGGCAAUGAAAACAAUAAACAGUAUUUAAAUUGCUGUUUUAACCUUUUUACUUGCUUUUACUGAUCCAAGAAAUAAAUCAUCAGAGACUUCACUAAAAAGCUAAGAUCACAAAGCAUUUUGUGAUAUAAAUGGCUAAACGUAAAGAAUUUAUGCUGCAUAAUAGUAAUAUAAUCAGGUUAGAACACAAAAUCUUGCAAUUAUAUACAUUUAUGAUGGCUCAGACAAAAUACCUGAAACUUGAUAACAGUGGUGCAAUGACAGAACAUUUUCAGCUGUUGGGAGCUCGUGCAAACUCGUGAAGUAUUUUUUUUUGUCUCUGUGAAUGUGCUGAAAGAAAGAAUUUAAAGCAAAACACAUAUGAAGACAUGUCAGACGUGAUUCUGGGGUGUUACUCCCUGUCUUUCUGUGUCCAACAAUGAUAUUCGGACUAGUCAACCCCGUCUGUUUCCGUGAUGGUGAAAAUGUCCAUUCCUCAUUAUUUUCUAUGCUAGCCGCGAGCGCAGCUAUACUGCUGAGCUCAGCAGAAAUGAUGUGCAUGUGUCUGUGAGAAAGAGUGUGUGUGUGUUAGUGUGUGUGUGUGUGUGUGGGCUGUGGGGACAUGUGGAGACUGGAGGCUCAUUAGCAUAAUAAUAGACUCGGAUGCGUGUGGACAGGCAGGCGGUGUGCGAGCAUGUGUUUGUGUGCAGUCUGUGUGCGUCUAAUCUUGGACGGGGUUGUUCUGAAACUAUCAUCUCGCUGUUCAAUGACAAUAAAAGCUUCUUGGUUCUUGAUUGCAUUAAUUACUCUAAAAAUAACUUUGAUCAGAUAGUCCCGUCAUGUUUGGUGUGCUAAGAGCGCUCUGGUCUGCUCAAAAGGAUGUCACGACCACUCUAAUCAUAAAUUGAGGAUAUUCAACAUAUUGAAUUUCUUGGUCUGAUUUCACGAACAAACGGGUGUGCUGCCUGUCGAAUGGCACAUGAAGCCAAUCCAAGAGGAGAAACACACCUGCUGCUACUGUUUCUGAGCAAAUAAUCCAGUUUUUCUGUGGCUCUCUAACCCCACAACCAUGUGGGAUUAAGUUUAUUUUUGUGACAAAGAGAGAAUGAUUCCAAUUCACUACUCAGCAGCUCAAGGGAUAUCUUUUCAGGCUGGCUUUUUGUGAACUCCAGUUGAUUCACCGCUUGCUCAUUAGUUUCUCCUCUGGCUUGUGUUUCUGUCAUUAUUGUAUAUUUCAGUCUCUUAUUAUUAUUUUUUUGCUUUGUUUUGUUUUUCAAUUAUUAAUUUAUUGUUUCGUUGAAAGGCGGUAUACAAAUACACUUUUACUCUUCUUUAACUAAUAUUUGUAUCAUUCUCAAAAGCUUUGGCCAUGGCAACAGAAGAGCAGUUUAACACUGAAAGGAAAGUCUGACCUCAAUUUCAGAACAUGGUAAAGACGUGUUAUAUGAGCAUAUUUUCAAUGAUAUUGUCCAUCUCCUAUUUUAAAAAGCUCAUAGCCAGAAGCUGUAUGGCUCAGACUGAACUGAUGCUUUAUAGUUCUCAACACAGCUAGAUGAGCCAUUCAUAGCAGUGGUCCAUCCAUCCACCCAUUCAUCCAUCUAUUCAUCAAAUUUCCUCUUCUUAGAAGAACAGCUGAGAAACAUAGUCCCAUCCGUGUACCCUGGGUCUUCACUUGGGUCUCCUCCUGGCUAGAUGUGCCUGGAGUACCUCACAAGGGAGGUGUCCAGGAGGCAUCCUAACCAGAUGCCUGAGCC
rnacentral:lncRNA from 1 species